UACAGAGGUGGCAAGCGUUGUUCGGAAUUACUGGGCGUAAAGCGCGUGUAGGCUGCUUCGCAAGUCGGAUGUGAAAGCCCUGGGCUCAACCCAGGAAGUGCAUUCGAAACUGCAGAGCUGGAGUCCUGGAGAGGAAGGCGGAAUUCUCGGUGUAGAGGUGAAAUUCGUAGAUAUCGAGAGGAACACCGGUGGCGAAGGCGGCCUUCUGGACAGUGACUGACGCUGAGACGCGAAAGCGUGGGGAGCAAACAGG
rnacentral:rRNA from 1 species